rnacentral:rRNA from 1 species
UUUUAUGAGAGUUUGAUCCUGGCUCAGGACGAACGCUGGCGGCGUGCCUAAUACAUGCAAGUCGAACGCUUCUUUUUCCACCGGAGCUUGCUCCACCGGAAAAAGAGGAGUGGCGAACGGGUGAGUAACACGUGGGUAACCUGCCCAUCAGAAGGGGAUAACACUUGGAAACAGGUGCUAAUACCGUAUAACAAUCGAAACCGCAUGGUUUUGAUUUGAAAGGCGCUUUCGGGUGUCGCUGAUGGAUGGACCCGCGGUGCAUUAGCUAGUUGGUGAGGUAACGGCUCACCAAGGCCACGAUGCAUAGCCGACCUGAGAGGGUGAUCGGCCACAUUGGGACUGAGACACGGCCCAAACUCCUACGGGAGGCAGCAGUAGGGAAUCUUCGGCAAUGGACGAAAGUCUGACCGAGCAACGCCGCGUGAGUGAAGAAGGUUUUCGGAUCGUAAAACUCUGUUGUUAGAGAAGAACAAGGAUGAGAGUAACUGUUCAUCCCUUGACGGUAUCUAACCAGAAAGCCACGGCUAACUACGUGCCAGCAGCCGCGGUAAUACGUAGGUGGCAAGCGUUGUCCGGAUUUAUUGGGCGUAAAGCGAGCGCAGGCGGUUUCUUAAGUCUGAUGUGAAAGCCCCGGCUCAACCGGGGAGGGUCAUUGGAAACUGGGAGACUUGAGUGCAGAAGAGGAGAGUGGAAUUCCAUGUGUAGCGGUGAAAUGCGUAGAUAUAUGGAGGAACACCAGUGGCGAAGGCGGCUCUCUGGUCUGUAACUGACGCUGAGGCUCGAAAGCGUGGGGAGCAAACAGGAUUAGAUACCCUGGUAGUCCACGCCGUAAACGAUGAGUGCUAAGUGUUGGAGGGUUUCCGCCCUUCAGUGCUGCAGCUAACGCAUUAAGCACUCCGCCUGGGGAGUACGACCGCAAGGUUGAAACUCAAAGGAAUUGACGGGGCCCGCACAAGCGGUGGAGCAUGUGGUUUAAUUCGAAGCAACGCGAAGAACCUUACCAGGUCUUGACAUCCUUUGACCACUCUAGAGAUAGAGCUUCCCCUUCGGGGCAAAGUGACAGGUGGUGCAUGGUUGUCGUCAGCUCGUGUCGUGAGAUGUUGGGUUAAGUCCCGCAACGAGCGCAACCCUUAUUGUUAGUUGCCAUCAUUCAGUUGGGCACUCUAGCAAGACUGCCGGGACAAACCGGAGGAAGGUGGGGAUGACGUCAAAUCAUCAUGCCCCUUAUGACCUGGGCUACACACGUGCUACAAUGGGAAGUACAACGAGUCGCGAAGUCGCGAGGCUAAGCUAAUCUCUUAAAGCUUCUCUCAGUUCGGAUUGCAGGCUGCAACUCGCCUGCAUGAAGCCGGAAUCGCUAGUAAUCGCGGAUCAGCACGCCGCGGUGAAUACGUUCCCGGCCUUGUACACACCGCCCGUCACACCACGAGAGUUUGUAACACCCGAAGUCGGUGAGGUAACCUUUUGGAGCCAGCCGCCUAAGGUGGGAUAGAUGAUUGGGGUGAAGUCGUAACAAGGUAGCCGUAUCGGAAGGUGCGGCUGGAUCACCUCCUUU